rnacentral:rRNA from 1 species
CCUACGGGUGGCUGCAGUCGAGAAUCAUUCACAAUGGGGGAAACCCUGAUGGUGCGACGCCGCGUGGGGGAAUGAAGUUCUUCGGAUUGUAAACCCCUGUCAUGUGGGAGCAAAUUAAAAAGAUAGUACCACAAGAGGAAGAGACGGCUAACUCUGUGCCAGCAGCCGCGGUAAUACAGAGGUCUCAAGCGUUGUUCGGAAUCACUGGGCGUAAAGCGUGCGUAGGCUGUUUCGUAAGUCGUGUGUGAAAGGCGCGGGCUCAACCCGCGGACGGCACAUGAUACUGCGAGACUAGAGUAAGGGAGGGGGAACCGGAAUUCUCGGUGUAGCAGUGAAAUGCGUAGAUAUCGAGAGGAACACUCGUGGCGAAGGCGGGUUCCUGGACAUUAACUGACGCUGAGGCACGAAGGCCAGGGGAGCGAAAGGGAUUAGAUACCCCGGUAGUC